rnacentral:rRNA from 1 species
UACUAGAGUAGCACUCGCAUAUCAAUAAGCGGAGGAAAAGAAACUAACAAGGAUUCCCUUAGUAACGGCGAGUGAAGCGGGAAGAGCUCAAAUUUGAAAUCUUCAAGGUUUUACCUUGACGAAUUGUAGUUUAAAGAAGUGUUUUCUGUUGGAGUUUUGGUAAAAGUUCUUUGGAAUAGGACAUCAUAGAGGGUGAGAAUCCCGUAUUUGACCAUUACUUUCCAGCUGUGUGAUACACUUUCAAAGAGUCGGAUUGUUUGGGAAUGCAGUCCAAAAUGGGUGGUAAAUUCCAUCUAAAGCUAAAUAUUGGCGAGAGACCGAUAGCGAACAAGUACCGUGAGGGAAAGAUGAAAAGAACUUUGAAAAGAGAGUUAAACAGUACGUGAAAUUGUCAAAAGGGAAGCGUUUGACACCAGUGUUGUUUUCUCGAAAAUCAAUUAAAAAAGGCUGGAUUUUGUGUUGUAUUGACCUUUAAUCGCUUUCUUCACUUUUUUCAUGUCUUUUUUAAUGCACUUUUCGUUUAACAAGUCAACAUCAGUUUCUUUUGUUGUAAAAGGGUUCAUUGGAAGGUGGCUUUCUCUUCGGAGAAAGUGUUUAUAGCCUUUGUCCUCUGCAAUCGGAGAGAUUGAGGUCUGCAGCGUAGAUCCUUCGGGGUUAGAUACAUUUGUGCUAAGUUAUAGUCUUUUAUAGACAACUUGUUGACUAUGAUUGAAGUCUUGUAGCUUACUCGCUUAUGCUAUUUUACCUACGCUUAGGAUGUUGAAGAUGUAGCACAUCAU